GAUGAACGCUGGCGGCGUGCUUAAUACAUGUAAGUCGAACGAGGAGCUUUGCUUCGGUAAAACUCCGAGUGGCGAACGGGUGAGUAACGCGUUGGUGACCUGCCCCGAAGAGGGGGAUAACGGCUCGAAAGGGCUGCUAAUACCCCAUGUGGUCGUAGAGGUUAGAGUCUUUACGUCUAAAGGAGUAAUCCACUUCGGGAUGGGCCUGCGUCCCAUCAGCUAGUUGGUAGGGUAAUGGCCUACCAAGGCGACGACGGGUAGGGGGCCUGAGAGGGUGACCCCCCACACUGGCACUGAAACACGGGCCAGACACCUACGGGAGGCUG
rnacentral:rRNA from 1 species